UGACAGACUUGCGACGACAGGUCAGGUUUCUCCAUUAAUGAACUUCACGAAGUAAUGACACAACCAAAUAGUCGGUCCCUUCAUGUGUCAUGAUGGAUUUUUAUUGGAAAGUCCCUGUGUGAUGUUUACAUCAGAAGAGAUCUCUGAUAAACAGGAGAAAAGCACAAGUGCUGUAGGGCAUCAGUGUCAAGUCAUACAUCAUCUGUGAUGUUCCGAUAACAUCUCAACAACAGUUUCAUUCUUCCCUUGACAGAACAUUGUGAAAUAUUUCGUUCUUUGCGCCAGAGGUGGCCAUUGAUGGCCUUACAGAAGCAGGAUCUGUGUGAGACCCAUCCACCAUCUCCAUCCACCAGUAUGUGAUGUUAUUCAUGAAGUGUUUACAAUUCAAAAUGUUUUUUAGAGCAUCACUGAAUCAUAAACACAAAAAAGGGGAUCAAGGCUUUAUUGUAAGGACAUCAUGGCUGACCUCGAUAUCAAAGCUGUUUUUGACUCCUCAGAACACUGAACCACACAUUUCAUUCCGCUCAUCGACCUCGGAAAUGGAAAAUAUCACCUCACACAAGAGCUUAGAAAACCCUAUUCACUGUACAAUAUCACCUCACACAAGAGCUUAGAAUACCCUGGCAACUGUACCAUAUCACUUGACACAAGAGCUUUGAACAGACUAACACGUAUCUAGGGACAAGGUGCCAAGCUGUCCGCAUUCACGAAGUUAAUUCAGUUCAAUGUCGGACACAGAAUCAGCUCGUUGGGUUGCAGUUAAGAAUCUUAUCGAUGUCAUCGUCAUUUACAAAAGGCAAACCUGUCUGUAUUAAGUCCGGUUCGGGUGGUCGAAAAAAACGUCAAAUAAGCAAGUCCUCUAACACAGACGCAAACCCGGACUUGGGUGUGUUGAUCUUGGCGCACUAGAAACAGUUUCUGACAAAACUGCAAUCUGAAUCUUGGAACUCAUAUCUGUCCAUAUGCAGUUUUGACAACAAAGACAAUAAAUGUGUUCAGAGGUUGUAUUAUACGAAUAACUCUGUUAGUCAGAUCUCCGUCCGCUUUAACGAGGUCAUUUACUUUGACAGGUGUCAAAUGGUCAUCGCUGUUUGUUUACAAACAACGCAGACGUAAUUUUUGGUUUAA